rnacentral:rRNA from 1 species
UGGGGAAUAUUGGACAAUGGGGGGAACCCUGAUCCAGCCAUGCCGCGUGUGUGAAGAAGGCCUUAUGGUUGUAAAGCACUUUAAGCGAGGAGGAGGGUACUGGUAUUAAUACUACCAGCUACUGGACGUUACUCGCAGAAUAAGCACCGGCUAACUCUGUGCCAGCAGCCGCGGUAAUACAGAGGGUGCGAGCGUUAAUCGGAUUUACUGGGCGUAAAGCGUGCGUAGGCGGCUAAUUGAGUCGGAUGUGAAAUCCCCGAGCUUAACUUGGGAAUUGCAUUCGAUACUGGUUAGCUAGAGUGUGGGAGAGGAUGGUAGAAUUCCAGGUGUAGCGGUGAAAUGAGUAGAGAUCUGGAGGAAUACCGAUGGCGAAGGCAGCCAUCUGGCCUAACACUGACGCUGAGGUACGAAAGCAUGGGGAGCAAACAGG